rnacentral:rRNA from 1 species
UACGAAGGGGGCUAGCGUUGCUCGGAAUUACUGGGCGUAAAGGGCGCGUAGGCGGCACUGUUAGUCAGGCGUGAAAGUCCUGGGCUCAACCUGGGAACUGCGCUUGAUACGGCAGAGCUAGAGGAUGGAAGAGGCUCGCGGAAUUCCCAGUGUAGAGGUGAAAUUCGUAGAUAUUGGGAAGAACACCGGUGGCGAAGGCGGCGAGCUGGUCCAUUACUGACGUUCAGGUACGAAAGCGUGGGUAGCAAACAGG